AGGACCUGGGUUACCAAGCAGGCCACUGCAUAGUGAUGGGGAGGUGGGAGCGCUGCAAGGCCCCAGGAGCCGGGGUGCAGGGCAGCCAGGCUGUGUCGGUGAGGCGGCAUGUGAGGGCAUGCCUGGAGAAUGGCUGGCAGUUGGCUGUAAACUUGGGGAAAUUCUAUUCUAUGCAGAGAGAAGCCAGAGAGGACAUACCAGCAGGUCAGUAUGGCUCAGAGUCAAGUGUGAAUAAGAAGGGCUGAGAGUGGAGGCCGGAGAGAGGUGCCGAGAGAGGCGAGGGGAGGCCCGCGCAGCACCCCCUACCCAGGAAAGGAGAGCUGCGAUACCAGAGCGAUGGGCAGCUGCUCAAGGGCCUUCAGCGGGGAGUGGUAUGUUGAGUAGCUGAUGGUGGAAAUAUUUACUUCUAGUUAUGUAACAGGGAAAAUGCAAAAGGAGGCUUGCUCCCACCCCAGGUCACAUGCAAAGCGUGCACUGAGGAAGAGGCCCAGAGUCCUGCCCAAGGCCUGCAGAGGGCAGGGUGGGCCUAUGCUGCAGGAGAUGGAGCAGGCUGUGCACAGAGAGGGGAGUAGCCUGUCUUUGGUGCCUCCAGCUGCUGGGGACCCAGCCAGUGAGAGCCUGCUGGCCCCAGUGACCUUCACAUGACAACAGGAGAAGCCUCGCCUCCUCACCUAUACUUUAAAGUGUCCUGUGCUUGAAUCCCUAUAUUGAGGAGUAGCAAUGUGUCCAGCUAAGAAACUACAUUUCCCAGGCUCAAUGCAUAGAUCUGUGACAUGAGGUGGCGGGGUAACCAUGUUUAAAACCAUUUUUAAAUUUUGGAAAAAACUGAACAGUAUUUUGUGAUACAUGAAAAAACUCA